rnacentral:rRNA from 1 species
CCUACGGGUGGCAGCAGUGAGGAAUAUUGGUCAAUGGGCGGAAGCCUGAACCAGCCAAGCAGCGUGCAGGAUGACGGCCCUACGGGUUGUAAACUGCUUUUAUACGGGAAUAACGCGCCUUACGUGUAGGGCUUUGCAUGUACCGUAUGAAUAAGGAUCGGCUAAUUCCGUGCCAGCAGCCGCGGUAAUACGGAAGGUCCGGGCGUUAUCCGGAUUUAUUGGGUUUAAAGGGAGCGUAGGCGGCAUGUCAAGCGUGCUGUGAAAUGUCCGGGCUCAACCCGGGCCUUGCAGCGCGAACUGGCGGGCUUGAGACCGCGAGAAGCAGGCGGAAGUCGUGGUGUAGCGGUGAAAUGCUUAGAUAUGGCGAAGAACCCCGAGUGCGAAGGCAGCUUGCUGCAGCGGAACUGACGCUGAUGCACGAAAGCGCGGGUAUCGAACAGGAUUAGAUACCCUUGUAGUC